rnacentral:rRNA from 1 species
AUUGAACGCUGGCGGCAGGCCUAACACAUGCAAGUCGAACGAGUGGCGGACGGGUGAGUAAUGUCUGGGAAACUGCCUGAUGGAGGGGGAUAAAUACUGGAAACGGUAGCUAAUACCGCAUACCAUCAGAUGUGCCCAGAUGGGAUUAGCUAGUUGGUGGGGUAACGGCUCACCAAGGCGACGACCCCUAGCUGGUAUGAGAGGAUGACCACCCACACUAGAACUGUGACACGGUCCAGACUCCUACGGGAGGCAUCAGUGGGGAAUAUUGCACAAUGGGCGCAAGCCUGAUGCAGCCAUGCCGGGUGUAUGAAGAAGGCCUUCGGGUUGUAAAGUACUUUCAGCGGGGAGGCGUUACCCGCAGAAGAAGCACCGGCUAACUCCGUGCCAGCCGCCGCGGUAAUUC